rnacentral:rRNA from 1 species
AUUGAACGCUGGCGGCAGGCCUAACACAUGCAAGUCGAGCGGAGCGGCGGACGGGUGAGUAAUGCCUAGGAAUCUGCCUGGUAGUGGGGGAUAACGUCCGGAAACGGGCGCUAAUACCGCAUACUAUCAGAUGAGCCUAGGUCGGUUUAGCUAGUUGGUGGGGUAAAGGCCUACCAAGGCGACGAUCCGUAACUGGCCUGAGAGGAUGAUCAGUCACACUGGAAUGGGGACACGGUCCAGACUCCUACGGGAGGAGGAAGGGGGGAAUAUUGGACAAUGGGCGAAAUCCUGAGCCAGAAAUGCCGCGUGUGUGAAGAGGGUCUUCGGAUUGUAAAGCACUUUAAGUUGGGAGGCGUUACCGACAGAAAAAGCAACGGCUAACUACGUGCCAGCCGCCGCGGUAAUAC